AUUUAUAUAAAUGAAAAGAAGUACUAGCUUAAUUUCUUGAUAUAAAAUAGAUUUCUUGGUGUGCUUGAUAUUCAAAGCAGAAUCUGAAAUAAUAUUGAUGACUCUAAAAUGAGAAAGCGAUGAAGUCACCUGCUACCAGUAGACUUGAACAGACACCAAAUAACAUUAUAUUUUAAAAUGUAACAAAAAUGAGGAAUUCCCGUCAUGGCUCAGCAGUUAACAUACCCAACUAGCAACCCUUGCCUCGUUCAGUGGGUUAAGGAUCCGACAUUGCCGUGAGCUGUGGUGUAGGUCACAGACGCGGCUUGGAUCCUGCAUUGCUGUGGCUCUGCUGUAUGCUGGGGGCCACAGCUCCAAUUAGACCCCUAGCCUGGGAAACUCCAUAUACCUCGGAUGCAGCCCUAAAAUGACCAAAAAAAAAAAAAAGUAACAAAAAUGAAAUGGUAAAAGUUAAAUUUAUUUGUUUCACGUGUCCAACACUGGGCUACGCCCUUGGUAUUCACUAUCUCAUUUAUUCCUGGAAAUAACUCCAAGAGUUAGGUGUUGUUACUCUCAUUUAACAGACAAAGAUAUUGAUCAUCGCAGAGGCCAAAGUACAUAGCUUGCGUAAAGACACACAAAUCAGGAACUGAACGUGGAUUCUGACUUCACCAAAAUGCACUAUUCCCCACGAAGAUGACAAGAGCUGUUUACAGCCUUUAUGUCCACUGUGCCAGUAUAUUCUCACAGAGUGAGGCAAGAGGCUUAGUAAUAUCCCUCUUUACAAAUGUGGAAGCUGAGGCACAAAAGAGUCCUGCAAUUUAGGUAACUUCCCAUAUUAAGUGAGGACAGAGCAAAGUCCUACCCAGAGGCAUUUCCUGCUUUAGGCAUGGCGUCACUGUCGCCCAGGAAAUCUGUGAACUUAGUGGGCAUUUCAGUUGAAUCAAUGCACACUAAACGUGUGUCCCAGCGGCUGCCCCAUUGCCCAAAGUGAGGACAGACUUGUCCUUCAAAGACUAAAAUCCUGUUUAGAACAACAAUUCAUAGACACUUUGAGGACCACUGCUUGGACUUGCUCUGGUCAUCUGUAUACCCUUUCCCUCUUGUUUUCCUCUAUUCAUUUUUCUCCCUUGAACUCCUUAUCUCUCUAAUCCCUCCUCCUGAAUGCUCUUAUUUUAUCUCUCCCUCCACUUUUAUCUUUUCCUCCAGGUCGCCUGAGUCUAUCUUCUCCCCAAGUCAGGCUCCCCAGGCUUUCUUGGCCCCCUGACCCCUCCUUCCUCUCCCAGGACUGUAUUUCCCCUGCCUCUCACUUGCCUCCCAGCAACCUAAGCAGAACAAUACUGGAAGUGGAACUGGCACUCUGACAAAAAGGAGAGCAAUUGGAAAGAAAACUUUACUCAUCAAGAAAGAGGCAAGUAUCUUAAAAAUAUCUGUGGGAAGGUGUUUGCUAAAUCAUCUGCUUCUUCAGAUGUAAACUUUCAACAGUAUGAGUUCCACUGGGGUGGAGAUAGACAAGAAGUGCCUUCUUGGGCUGGAUGACUGAGCAGAUGAGCGAGGAACUAGAGACCCCGAUAACUUAGCCGUGAAUAAAAUUCAAGAGUUGUUUCCCUCUUUAUUCCCG
rnacentral:lncRNA from 1 species